rnacentral:lncRNA from 1 species
GGCAGUAACAGAAGUGUGCCUGGGAAGAAACCCCACGGUGGAGAUGAGAGGCCAAAGAGUGGGUAGGGCGAAUGAGGAAAAGCAGCAAAGUGUACUCCCUCACAGAGAGGCAGAGAAGUGCGUUAGAACCCUGGGGAAGCAAGCUGGGAACCUCCCUCGAAGCCUGUCUGUUUCACUGUGCUCUCCUUAUCAUAGACACCUGCCACAGGGUUUGGCAUUUCCCCUUUUCUGAUUGGCUGCCUCCCCAGGGCCCGGGCCUCAGUGCUGGUGGCCCUCUGGGGGUCGGGAGCGCAUAAAUAGUUCCUGCUGGGGAAACUGGGAAACUGGUCUCAGACAAGAGGAACAGACAUCUCUGCCACGCACUGCUGCCUGGAGCUGCAUGGGGUCCCAGUGCUGCCAGCGUGUCUUCUGUGUAUCGCCCCAUGCACCUCUGCCUCAGCCACAGCCCUUCCCCGCAGCAGCUCCCGCGGCCUGGCCUGGUAGAGCUGCAGCCCCAGGCCUCCUUCUACUCCUUCCUGGUACAACUGCAUGAACCCCAGAGACCCAAGAAGCGAGUAGUGUUUGCAGACACGAAGGGGAUCUCAUUGACAUCCGUGCACAAGUUUGAAGAUGCUGUGGGCAGACACUCUGAAGAAGCCUCGUGUCCCAUGUUCAGUUUCCUGCGCCCUGCGCCACCUGGCUGGCCAGAGCCACCACCUACACUCUGGGCUUCCCCGCACCCAGGCAGGGUUCGGGGGUUUCAGAGGCGCCUGCAGGUGCAGAGUGUGCGCCCGGAGCAGCGUGCUGGGCAGGGGCCUUCCUGCGAGGCGCUGUCUAGCAGGCAGGCUGGGUUCCAGAAGGCAAGGCAGAUGCGCAUCACCUUUGAUGUCAGGGCUCCUUCCAAGAAGUGCCUAGUGUUCACACGGCCAGUCCUUGCAGAAGCGAGACUGACAGCUUCGCCUUCCAAGCCAUGUUGCCACUAGGUCUCCCAGGCCGGUGGGCACCAUCCAGUUCUGCUUCUGUUGUUGGGGAAAACAAUCAAGGGCAAACCUGUUGUUUGGUGCCCAGUUCUCAGUCACGCUCAUCACAAUGUAAGUGAGCUCUGUGAGGGCCCACAGACAGGGCGAGCCGUCUGUGGUUACUUUUUCUGCAGAGGCAAAGCUUGAAUUCCUCACCCAGGAUGUGCUAUUCCUAUCGCUUCUGGAACUUUAUUCAGACUCUUCUUUCUCCUGAAUUCACAGUGGGGAGACAGGAGGGACACAACUCCCAGCCCCCAGAAAGCCUUGAAUGCUUUGCAUUCUUCUCUCACAAGGGGAGCCCACUUCCUGACCAAAGGGCUGAAAUUUCCUUUAGGGAGAUGCUGGGAAUGGCACCCUUUACCCUUUGCAGAGGAGCCUUUGGAGUGUGGAAACAGAAGAAAUGUAAAUAAAGCUUUUAUGUGUCAUUAUUUAACAGGCCUGGCAGAGUGUCUGUAAGGACUGUGUGGAGGAGGGGUGGGCCGGGGAGGGUUCUUUGCAUUGAAAGCAGGAGGCACCCAGCACAGGAAGGAGCUCUUACACUUUCCUCUCCAGGUGGAAGGGGCCAGCUUUCUGGUAACUUGAAAUCCUACUGCUGCUUCAACUUUUGCCUAAAGAAAAGUUCAUUAAAGCAUCUUCAGUGGUUCACGUUGUAAACACUUGACCUUUCCCCCUCUUUAGCAGGUAAAAGUCUGGGGAAACUCUGUCUACCUCAAAACAGGUGCACUUAAAAAAAAACAAAAACAUUUUUAGCUGUUUUGUGCAUAAUUUACCAAGACCCAGAGACCUGACCUUUGUUCCUAGGCCCCUCCCUCCCCUGUUGUAUUUAUCACCCUAUAUGGAAACUGCUUAUUGAACUGUUUGCCACCCUCAGGGCCUGGAAAGGCUGGACCAGGACUGCCAUCCACCCUGCUGGCCCCCAGGCUGGCAGCCCUGGAAUGCUCAGGAGGUAAGGGUUGGAAUAAUACGUGAAUGUUUGUGCCAGGUAGGCCCCUCGCUUCAACUUGCAAUGCUCUGAGAUCUUCAGUCUUCAGAAGAUUUUAGCCUCUUUUCGGAGAUUGCUCAUUCUCUCAGAUUACUGUUCGUGGAUGACAAAUUUUAAAUAUGUGUUUAAAAAGAAUGUUUCUCUCUUCUGAUUCCUUGACUUCUUGGGCUAUAUUUGUUUGUGCCGGUGGCAGGCUAUAUCAAUGCAAUCAUUGUGGCUGAGCAAGCAGCAUUCUCUUUUUCUCCCUAAAGGGCCUGCCCCAGCUGAUUCAAUCUGUAAAACAACCAGGUGGUUAACAGCGUAAAGCUAGAAGCAGCCAAACACACUGGCUUCCAGGGCCGCUCUGAACACAGCUGCAGCUUCCUCAUCUGAUAAGUAACGCUUUCGUAACUGCACCUGUUUCCUCCUGCUCCCUCUCCAGCCUUCUAGCCCUGCCUCCAUUAAGGGAUGAUCAGGAAUAGAUAACAUCCAUGCCCAUCUUCCUCUACUUUAUAUGCGGGAUGCCUACCACAGCAUGGCUUGAUGAGCGGUGCAAUGUCCGCACCUGGGAACCGAACCCGCGGACCCCAGGCCACCAAAGCGGAAUGUGCGCACUUAACCACUGCACAACCGGGCCGGGGGUUUUUAUUUAAUGGGUAUUGAGUUUUCAUUUUUCAAGAUGAAAAAUUUCUAGAGAUCAGGUGUACAACAAUGUGAAUAUACUUAACACUACUGAACUGUGCACUUAGAAAUGGUUAAGAUGGUAAGUUUUGUGUGUAUUUUACCACAACUAAUUUUUUUUUUUAAAAAAAGAACACAACUUUUGCUUAAUUUGGCUUUUUCUCUUGGUGCUUGGAAUUGAGCAUUGGUGUUGCUGGUUGUGUAGUAAACAGUUGUAGGUUCACCUCUUAAUGAAUGUUAAAGACUUUGUACAUUAAAAGGUGACCGUGGAAGGGAAAGGAAUUAUACAGCACACUUAUGGUGUUGUUCUACUGAGGGACAGAGUACCUUUCAAACGGAGUAUCUUCCCAGGUUCAUAGCACUGUGUGUCAUACACGCAGCAAACACAAUGAUUGUAGAGGCACAUUUUGGGAAAUGAGCUCAAAGUUAGGAUGGGAUGGGGAUUGUUAAACCUCUCACUGAGACCUUAAUCACUGUGACCCCCUUCUUUUAAUGGUCUAUCCUUCAUCAGGUACUUAAAAUUACUCACAUAGUUUUUGUAGCACAAGAGUAUUUUCAUCGUAGAAUGUGAAAAUACCUUCAACAAUAAUCUAGAGACAGUCCAAAUUCAGUGUCAAGGAAUUUAGUGCCGGCGAUGAGCCUGGUCAUGCUAUCAGGCAGUAGGCCUUCUCUAUAGAUAAACCCACGCCAUGUCUAAAUUCUCAAGCAUUACUUGCUCACUUUCUCUCUCCCGUUUGUAUUCUUUGUGCCUAGAAAUGACCAUGACAGAGAGAUGCCCAGAUCACUGACCUUUGCAAACAAAACUUUGGAGCCUAAGAGAACUAUAUUAACCCAGUUCUUACUGAUUUCCUCUUUGGGGGGGAAGUUUGAUUGCUUUCCCACACCAAAGAAGUUUAGAGAAUGUGCCAGUGAAUGGGUGCCUACUCUCACCUGGGCAUGUGUGCGUGUGUUGAUACCCAAGAAGUGAGUUUACUAUUUGGUUGGGCAAAGAAUCAAUGAACACGAUUUGUAUUGAGCCUGUAACGUGUGUGACUUAUUUUUU